rnacentral:rRNA from 1 species
CCCCUAGAUGUUCUGGGCCGCACGCGCGCUACACUGAACAGUUCAACAAGUCUUAACCUUGGCCGAUAGGUCUGGGUAAUCUUUGAACGCUGUUCGUGAUUGGGAUAGACCUUUGCAAUUAUGGGUCUUCAACGAGGAAUUCCUAGUAAACGCAAGUCAUCAGCUUGCAUUGAUUACGUCCCUGCCCUUUGUACACACCGCCCGUCGCACCUACCGAUUGAAUGGUCCGGUGAAAUCUCGGGACGGCGGCUUGGUCGCUUGCGUCCGACUGCUGAAACUUGAUUAAACCANANCAUUUANAGGAAGGUGANGUCGUNACA